GCGCGAAAACUUUACAAUGCCGGCAACGGCGAUAAGGGGACCUCGAGUGCCAGGUUACAAAUCUGGCUGUCGUGAUGCCUAAAAAGCAUUGCAUAGCAAGGGCCGGGCAAGACCGGUGCCAGCCGCCGCGGUAACACCGGCGGCUCGAGUGGUAACCGUUAUUAUUGGGUCUAAAGGGUCUGUAGCCGGCCGGAUAAGUCUCUUGAGAAAUCCAGCAGCUCAACUGUUGGGCUUUCAGGAGAUACUGUCUGGCUCGAGGCCGGGAGAGGUGAGAGGUACUUCAGGGGUAGGGGUGAAAUCUUGUAAUCCUUGAAGGACCACCAGUGGCGAAGGCGUCUCACCAGAACGGACCUGACGGCAAGGGACGAAAGCUAGGGGCACGAACCGG
rnacentral:rRNA from 1 species